rnacentral:tRNA from 1 species
GGGCCGAUAGCUCAGCUGGUAGAGCGCGUCGUUCGCAAUGACGAGGCCGGGGGUUCGAUCCCCCCUCGGUCCACCA